AUCGGCUACAUCAAGAUGAAGUGUCCUGGCUGUGGUCACCAAGUGGAAAAAUCGUCAAAAUUUUGCAGUGAAUGCGGAUUGAGGUUAGCUCCUCAAAUUUGCACCACAGGGCCACUAUCGCAGCACCGGGGAUGCCUCAGCUGGCUCGUCAGGCUUCCCGUACCUCAGCUGGCUCGCCAGGCUUCCCGUACCUCAGCUGGCUCGCCAGGCUUCCCGUACCUCAGCUGGCUCGUCAGGCUUCCCGUACCUCAGCUGGCUCGUCAGACUUACAUUGUCAAAGCUACCGGGAAUGCCUCAGCCAUCUCGUCAGUUUCUCAUGCCUCGGUUGGCUCGUCAGGCUUCCAUUGUCGAAGCUACUGGGAAUGCCUCAGCAGGCUCCCGUCUCAACAGGCUCCCGCGUCUCUGCCUGCUCGACAGGCUGCCGCGCCUCUGCCGGCUCGAGGCGACCUGCCUGGUCCUCGGGACUGUUCCUCUGGUCGGCGCCCUGCGGCUGGAGCCGUCACGUCUACUCCCGCUCCCCCUCUCCGCCGGUCGAGGUCACCAGUUGAAUCAUUAUUACGCACACCUGCCACCAUCGUUACGCGCACCUGCGCCACAUGAGACUCACCUGGACUCCAUCACUUCUAUGAUUACCUCUCCUAUAUCUGUCACUCCUUUUGGUUCUUUCCGCAGGCAGUAUUAGUUCAGUUUCAUGUUUAUACUCUACUCUUGUUUUGUUAUAUUGUUCGAUGUUCCGUUUAUUAAACUCACCAUCUGCACUCGCUUUCCGACUCCCAGCGUAUACGUUACACCGACAUGAGCCUUUUAUGCCUCCCAUGUGCAUAUCUCCCAUGUGCAUAUCUCCCAUGUGCAUAUCUCCCAUGUGCAUAUCUCCCAUGUGCAUGCCUCCCAUGUGCAUGCCUCCCAUGUGCAUGCCUCCCAUGUGCAUGCCUCCCAUGUGCAUGCCUCCCAUGUGCAUGCCUCCCAUGUGCAUGCCUCCCAUGUGCAUGCCUCCCAUGUGCAUGCCUCCCAUGUGCAUGC
rnacentral:lncRNA from 13 species